GUGAGUCAUCGAAUCUUUGAACGCACAUUGCGCCCCCUGGUAUUCCGGGGGGCAUGCCUGUUCGAGCCUCCAUGAGACAUCUCCUUCAGUGCUGGCCUUCCGGCACAUGUGGGGGGUUUUGGUGGAUGCCGACGUCUUGAACGGCGUGGGCUCUGCCCAAAUCAACAGUCCGCGAGCCCGGAGCUCACCAGCCGACGUAGUGAGAUACUUUCUCGUCGGCUACGUGACACAUCAGUGGCAAUGGGACCUUAAGCGCGACAGCGCCAACCUUUUACACGGUUGAGCUCGGAUCAGGUAGGGAUACCCGCUGAACUUAAGCAUAUCAAUAAGCGGAGG
rnacentral:rRNA from 1 species